UCCACGUUAGUGGUGUUAGUACCAAGGAAGACAGGGAAGACAAAAGCAGCUGCACGGGGUGCGGGGACACAGGAGCGGAAGAGCACAGAGCACAAACUUGUGGGUGAAGACACGACACGGAAGUCAAGGGGAAAACACGGGUGCUGAAGAUACUUCUGUGUGCGAGGACACCACAGGACACACUGGAGAGGGGACCUCUUGUAACUGACCUGGAAGUGCUUGGCUGUCUUGCUUGGCUUUGAAGCUGAAAGAAGCUGCUGUGCAGAGUUGAUGUCUGCACCACUGCCACUCCAUUGAUGUACUACUUAAACUUGUGUGAAAGAGAUGAGGAACAAACAUUGUGAGCUGGCAGUUCAGGAACUUUGGAUCGAUACUGUGCUUGCAACACGAAGGCAGAAAGUCCAGUUGCAGAGCAGCUUAACAGCUCCACAAAGACCUGGCUGUUUGGGCCGGGAGGCAGGAGAUCAAUGGUGUAAAAUAGGGAAGAAUUAACAAUGGUUGAAGAGCAAGGGGAGGACAGUCUGCUUUGACCUGGAGUGUUUCGAGACGACGGGCUUCACGAUGUCACCCUGAUAAUCGCUCCACUAGAGGAGGAUAAGACCAAACAAGAAUGGCUGUGAUAACGUAAUAGCUCCUCUGUGUCUGAGCAAAACAAUCAUUGGCAAGAAAAAACCUAGACAUUAUUAGUAUUGUGAAAACUAAGCUCCUUUUAAGGGUACGAAUUAAGGUUUUCUUGGUUUUUCUUUCACGUUAUAGUGUUAUUUGUUCUUAAACAAAACAAAAGUUUCAGCUAAUGAGGUAACCAUAUAUAAAAGUAAGCCCCGUGUGUCUAAAUCUCAGGCUUUAGACUGUUUGGCGCACUAGGGAUGCAGUGUUUUGACUGCUUUAGCGCUGAGCUGUGGUAAGCUUGUCAUGGAUUUCUUUUCAUGGUCAUCUAUUUGAGGCACAGCAGACCUAGAAAAUCAAACUUGUCUGUACAACAUAGUGA